CAAAAACAUCGCCUCCCGCAAAAAUCAAUGUAUAGGAGGUCCUGCCUGCCCAGUGACUAUAAGUUAAACGGCCGCGGUAUUUUGACCGUGCAAAGGUAGCGCAAUCACUUGUCUUUUAAAUGAAGACCCGUAUGAAUGGUGAAACGAGGGCUUAACUGUCUCCCCCUUCUAGUCAAUGAAAUUGAUCUAUCCGUGCAGAAGCGGGUAUAAUGAUACAAGACGAGAAGACCCUUUGGAGCUUAAGACAAAAGACCAACUAUGUCAAAAGUCCUAAAAAAGACUAAACCAAAUAGUACUGGUCUUAAUCUUCGGUUGGGGUGACCACGGGAGAAAACAAAGCUCCCAUGCGGACUGGGAUUAUCCCCUAAAACUAAGAGAGACAUCUCUAAGACGCAGAAUAUCUGACCACAGAGAUCCGGCUAUACGCCGACCAACGGACCAAGUUACCCUAGGGAUAACAGCGCAAUCCCCUUUCAGAGUCCAUAUCGACAAGGGGGUUUACGACCUCGAUGUUGGAUCAGGACAUCCUAAUGGUGCAGCCGCUAUUAAGGGUUC
rnacentral:rRNA from 1 species